rnacentral:rRNA from 1 species
UACGUAGGGGGCAAGCGUUGUCCGGAUUCAUUGGGCGUAAAGAGCGUGUAGGCGGCCAGGUAGGUCGGUUGUGAAAACUGGAGGCUCAACCUUCAGACGUCGACCGAAACCAUCUGGCUAGAGUCCGGGAGAGGAGAGUGGAAUUCCGUGGUGUAGCGGUGAAAUGCGCAGAUAUCAGGAAGAACACCGUGGCGAAAGCGGCUCUCUGGGCUGUAACUGACGCUGAGGCGCGAAGGCUAGGGGAGCAAACAGG